rnacentral:rRNA from 1 species
AUGGCGUCCACGGCCGCGGGCCUCUACGGCCGGCUCAACAGGACCAGCACGCGCGCGUUCCUCGCCUACGUCGCCGCCGGGGGCGUCUGCGCCGCCGUCCUCGCCUGCUUCGUCGUCUCCUCCGCCGACCCCGCCGCCGCACCCAAUGGCGCGCCCCGCCUCUCCUCGCGCUCCGCGCGCGUCUGGCCCGAUCUCGAGUUCAACUGGCGGCUCGUGGUGGCCACCGUCGUCGGCUUCCUCGGCUCCGCGUUUGGCACCGUCGGCGGCGUGGGCGGCGGCGGCAUCUUCGUGCCCCUGCUCAACCUCGUCCUCGGCUUCGACACCAAGUCCGCCGCCGCGCUCUCCAAAUGCAUGAUCAUGGGGGCGUCCGCGUCGUCGGUCUGGUACAACCUGCAGGUGUCGCACCCGACCAAGGAGGCGCCGGUGCUCGACUACAAGCUCGCGCUGCUCUUCCAGCCCAUGCUCAUGCUCGGGAUCACCAUCGGCGUCGAGCUCAGCGUCGUCUUCCCCUACUGGCUCAUCACCGUCCUCAUCAUCAUCCUCUUCGUAGGUACUUCCUCGCGGUCAUUCUACAAAGGCAUCCUCAUGUGGAAGGAGGAGACAAGGAUCCUGAUGGAGACACAGGAGCGAGAAGCCCAGUCCAAGUCAUCUAGUGCCACCAGCGAUGUGGUUCUUGACGCGAGUUAUGCAGAGCCUCUCCUGCCUCAAUCUAAGCCCGCUGAGAAGUCUGGCUUGGAGACUUUGAUGUUCAAUUUGAGGUGGAAGCACAUCCUAGUGCUACUGGCUGUUUGGUCAUCUUUCCUGGUGCUGCAAAUCCUUAAGAAUAACUCCAAAACAUGCAGUACUUUCUACUGGGUGAUCAAUAUUCUGCAGGUCCCAGCUGCAGUAGGUGUUUUCGUGUGGAAAGCGGUUCAGCUGUGCAGGGAGAGCCGUGCUAGACGCAUGAAUGGUAACCUGGAGUGUGUCUGUGAGGCCAAUAUCGAGUGGUCACCAACACAGCUCAUCUUCUGCGCCUUCUGCGGCCUCCUCGGCGGUACAGUCGGUGGUCUUCUCGGGUCUGGAGGGGGUUUCAUCCUCGGCCCACUACUUCUUGAGCUAGGGUGCAUCCCUCAGGUUGCAAGUGCAACAGCAACAUUUGUCAUGAUGUUCUCCUCGUCUCUCUCCGUGGUCGAGUUCUACUUUCUGGGCAGGUUCCCAAUUCCUUAUGCUCUCUACUUGAUCUUCAUUUCCAUAUUGGCUGGAUUCUGGGGCCAGUGCUUGGUCCGGAAGAUCGUGCAUGUGCUCAAGAGAGCGUCGCUGAUCGUCUUCAUCCUCUCCUCCGUCAUCUUCGCCAGUGCUCUUACCAUGGGUGUUGUUGGGACCGAGAAGAGCAUCUCGAUGAUCAACAAGCACGAAUACAUGGGGUUCCUCAGCUUCUGCUGA